rnacentral:tRNA from 1 species
GCCGUGAUAGCUCAGACGUCAAGGGCAUCUAGCUCCUGACUGGAAGGUCCCGGGUUCAAUCCCAGGUAGGGGCA